rnacentral:rRNA from 1 species
GAGUUUGAUCGUGGCUCAGAUUGAACGCUGGCGGCAGGCUUAACAUAUGCAAGUCGAGCGGGGGAGAUUGCUUCGGUAAUUGACCUAGCGGCGAACGGGUGAGUAAUACUUAGGAAUCUGCCUAUUAAUGGGGGACAACAUCUCGAAAGGGAUGCUAAUACCGCAUACGCCCUACGGGGAAAGCAGGGGAUCACUUGUGACCUUGCGUUAAUAGAUGAGCCUAAGUCGGAUUAGCUAGUUGGUGGGGUAAAGGCCUACCAAGGCGACGAUCUGUAGCGGGUCUGAGAGGAUGAUCCGCCACACUGGGACUGAGACACGGCCCAGACUCCUACGGGAGGCAGCAGUGGGGAAUAUUGGACAAUGGGGGGAACCCUGAUCCAGCCAUGCCGCGUGUGUGAAGAAGGCCUUAUGGUUGUAAAGCACUUUAAGCGAGGAGGAGGCUCCUGUAGUUAAUACCUACAGAGAGUGGACGUUACUCGCAGAAUAAGCACCGGCGUAACUCUGUGCCAGCCGCCGC